rnacentral:rRNA from 1 species
GAUGAACGCUGGCGGCGUGCCUAAUACAUGCAAGUCGGGCGAACGGACGAGAAGCUUGCUUUUCUGAUGUUAGCGGCGGACGGGUGAGUGACACGUGGAUAACCUACCUAUAAGACUGGGAUAACUUCGGGAAACCGGAGCUAAUACCGGAUAAUAUUUUGAACCGCAUGGUUCAAAAGUGAAAGACGGUCUUGCUGUCACUUAUAGAUGGAUCCGCGCUGCAUUAGCUAGUUGGUAAGGUAACGGCUUACCAAGGCAACGAUGCAUAGCCGACCUGAGAGGGUGAUCGGCCACACUGGAACUGAGACACGGUCCAGACUCCUACGGGAGGCAGCAGUAGGGAAUCUUCCGCAAUGGGCGAAAGCCUGACGGAGCAACGCCGCGUGAGUGAUGAAGGUCUUCGGAUCGUAAAACUCUGUUAUUAGGGAAGAACAUAUGUGUAAGUAACUGUGCACAUCUUGACGGUACCUAAUCAGAAAGCCACGGCUAACUACGUG